rnacentral:rRNA from 1 species
AUUGAACGCUGGCGGCAGGCCUAACACAUGCAAGUCGAGCGAGCGGCGGACAGGUGAGUAAUAUCUGUGAAACUGCCUGAUGGAGGGGGAUACCUACUAGAAACGGUAGCUAAUACCCCAUACCAUCAGAUGUGCCCCGAUGGGAUUAGCUAGUAGGUGGGGUAACGGCUCACCUAGUAGACGAUCCCUAGCUGGUCUGAGAGGAUGACCAGUCACACUUGAACUGAUACACGGUCCAGACUCCGAGGGUAGGCAGCAGUGGGGAAGAGUGCACAAUGGGCGCAAGCCUGAUGCAGCCAUGCCGCGUGUGUGAAGAAGGCCUUCGGGUUGUAAAGCACUUUCAGCGGGGAGGCGUUACCCGCAGAAGAAGCACCGGCUAACUCCGUGCCAGCAGCCGCGGUAAUUC